GUUGGGAGGCAAUAGGAGGGAGGGGAAUGAGAGAGGAGGGAGGGGGCGGAGAGAGGAGAGGUCCUAUUGUUUGAGAACAGGAUCGGACAGCAGUCUAUGCUCGCUAUCUUCUUUCCUCCUGAUGAAGACCCGUCUACAGACCCGUCUCCAGAGGACAAUGGCCCGUCGAGCGGAACAAAGCGCGCACCCGACGGCGUGACAGCGGGCAUCGAACAAGGUCCUUCCUAACUCGGGUCUGAUUGUCUAACCCGGGUCUCUGAGUAGGAGCCCAGGCAGCAGAGCACCACUAGCCACUACCGUCCGUCUAAGUCUGAUCAGGAGUCAUUGAUCACUGAUCGCGAUGCCCAGCGAGUGACGUCAUUCCCCUGCGAUAGGAGAUCUGACGUCAUCGGACUGAAACGACGAGAUGGAAGAACGGCAACGCUCGCGCUACCGUUAGAGGGGGGAUAAUAACAAUAGGAACACACACAUUCACGCACACACACACACACACACACACACACACACACACACACACACACACACACACACACACACACACACACACACACACACACACACCGAGGGCUAUAGAGGUACAAUGAGGGGUAGAGCGACACAAAAAGGGGUAGAGAGACAGAGACAGGGGGGGAGCUCGGGUAUCGAACAAUAGGACGGGCCGGAGCCAAAGAGGACGGAGGAGACGACUGAAGGAAUAGAGGGAACAUGAAGAGAAACCGCUGAUUUCCUCCUUGAACCCACUGGAUAUACAGCCGAGUGCUGCGCUUGUGUUGGAAGAGAGAGAGAGAGAGAGAGAGAGAGAGAGAGAGAGAGAGAGAGAGAGAGAGAGAGAGAGAGAGAGAGAGAGAGAGAGAGAGAGAGAGAGAGAGAGAGAGAGAGAGUCUGUGUGUGGAGGACUCGAGAUGAAUCCUCUCGAGGGAACAGAGGAGGCGUCCACCGAAGACGCAGACACCUUCUUCAAAACAGGGGGAGGAGGGCGAGGGCCUCAGGAGUCAUCUGACCGGUCAGGUGAGGGAGAAGCACACGGCCGACGGUUAGCCA
ensembl:lncRNA